rnacentral:lncRNA from 1 species
GGCGGCUGUGCACGCGCUCUGCUGGGCACGUGGGGCCCCUUCGUCCCCGGCGUCCGGGCGCCUGGUCCCAGCCCCCACCUUGGCCUCCGUCCGGCGGCUGCGUCCGCGACGCAGAGAGACUCGAGCGAGAGUCACCCGCCCCGGCGAGUGCCGCUCGGGCUAGUGGCGUUAGGAACGGGGGCCGCUGGAAUGGCGUCCACUUACAUAAUGCUUUGUUUGCACUUGGUCGGCUCCGGUUAGGGAAGCCCUCGGAGGCGCUACCUCCUGCCCUCGUGUUUUAUGUCCCACGAUAGUUCCCGAGACCUUAGAGGAGCGGUGCGCACUGACGGCGUGCCGGCAUGGCCCCCCGCAUGUCCGCGCUGGCUCGCCCGCCGCCUGGACCACGCUUUCGGGAGGCGGCCAAGCCUGGGCGCCGCCGCCAUCUUGGGAGGUCGCCCUGACCGAGGCCUCCCGCCGGGAAAUGGCCCUCGAGACGCUGGAGAGCGCCUUGUGCUUUCUUUGCCGGCUCCUCGUGCCGCCGCCAUAGUCAGCCUGGAGGAGGUCGUGUGAAGGAACGUGUUGUUUAAUACUUGGCCGAAAGGACCAGCGUGGCGUUCCUCACCCCACCGCCACCCCACCCCCGAGCGGGGAGGGCUGGCGGCCAUGUUUCCCAACAAAAUGGCGACACGUGUCGCCAUCGAAAAAUUGGGCCGGGUCUGAAAGCUCUAGAAUGUGCCUUUCAUCAGUCUCAGAAUUUCCCAUAGGAUGAAACAGCAAGAGAGCAAGACAAUCCCAGAGAGAUGAAUGAAGUGAAUGACCCAAGGUUACACAGGAUGGAACCUAUAUCUUCUGAUUUCUCUACUGGCCUGCACUCCACGUUCUGAGGAGGAGUCCUUGAAGCUACUGAGAUAAUGGAACAAUGGAGUAGAUAGUCCAUUAUAACUCAUCUGGGAUUCUUCUCAACUUCAAGUGACCACAGGUGGAAACAUGGUCUGGUAACACCACGCUUCCGGAUGUGAUUGUGGAGCUGGAUUGCUUAACCUGGGCUAAGUCAUUUAUCUUCCUGUGUCCCUCAGUUCUUCAUGGGCUGCAGAAGUGUUAAGAGUGCCUGCUUGUCUUCGAGAGGACCAGAGAUCAAUUCCCAGCAUCCAUCCCUGGAAGCUACAGGGAAUUCAACACUCUUCCUGACUUCCUCAAACACCUGCACACAUAUGGCUUAUAGACACACAGGGAAAGAAGUAAAGGAAAUCUUAAAAACAG